UACAGAGGUCUCGAGCGUUAGGCGGAAUCACUGGGCUUAAAGCGUGUGUAGGUGGAUGCCUAAGUACCUUGUGAAAUCCCACGGCUUAACCGUGGAACUGCUGGAUAUACUGCUUGUCUUGAGGCACUUAGGGGCAGCUGGAACAAAUGGUGGAGCGGUGAAAUGCGUAGAUAUCAUUUGGAACGCCAAAGGCGAAAGCAGGCUGCUGGGAGUGAUCUGACACUGAGACGCGAAAGCCAGGGGAGCAAACGGG
rnacentral:rRNA from 1 species